AUCAGUUUUCCCCUGAUUCACUCUUAUUUCAUCCACAAACCGUUUCAGAAUACUAGUUUCAUCCACUCAUCCAUUCCCCUGGCUCUCACACCCAUAUCAAAACUAUCACAUGUCCAAACCGUCUCAGAGCACCCAUUUCACUUCUUCCCUUGCCCUCACACCCAUAUCAAAACUAUCACAUGUUCAAACCAUCUCAGAGCACCCAUUCCACCUGCUAAAUAGUCUCCUUCCCUUACCCUCACACCCAUAUCAAAACUAUCACAUGUCCAAACCAUCUCAGAGCACCCAUUUCACCUGCUAAAUAGUCUCCUUCCCUUACCCUUACACCCAUAUCAAAACUAUCACAUGUCCAAACCAUCUCAGAGCACCCAUUUCACCUGCUAAAUAGUCUCCUUCCCUUACCCUCACACCCAUUUCAAAACUAUCACAUGUCCAAACCAUUUCACCUGCUAAAUAGUCUAUACUUCCCUUGCCCUCACACCCAUAUCAAAACUAUCUUGUUAAAACCAUCUCAGAGCACCCAUUUCACCUGCUAAAUAGUCUCCUUCCCUUGCCCUUACACCCAUAUCAAAACUAUCAUAUGUCCUCACACCCAUAGCUACGUAUCUUCACUAAUAUUAACAUUCACAUUAUUUUUUCUAUCUCAUUCUCUUCUUUUUUUUUCUAAUAUUUUCUCCAUUUCGUCUUUUUUUUCCUUGCUUAUUCCAUUUCAUUUUCUUUCUCUUCUUCAUCUUUAUCUUGUUUUUUUCUUACUUUGUUUCAUUAUUUCAUCUUUCUCAUCUCCCUUCCUUUAUUUUCCUCUCCUCCAUCUCCUCUUCUUUACUCUUUUUCUCUAUCUAAUUAUCUUUUUCUCUCCCCUUCUCCCUUUUCUUUUCUCUUCCUUUCUUCAUCUCCCUUCUUUCAUCUCCAUUUCCUCUCCUUUUCUCUUUCUUUCCCCUUCUUCCUUCUCUUCUCUCUUCCUUUCUUCAUCUCCUCUCCAUUAUCUCCCAUCCUCAUCUCUCUUCCCUUCUCCAUCUCCUCUUGACACACCAUUCCACAGGGACAAGCCUCAUUUUCGGACAGGUUGGCAGCCCUGACACAAAAACAUACACUCUAUUAUAUAAAUCUGUGCUUUAAUAUGAACAAUCUGUCCCCGGCAUAAGAGGGACAGGUGCUAUAGACAUUCGGUGUGCCGUACGGAGCAUAAUAAAAGCAUAGAUCCGUUUACAUUGACGGGAUGAAACCUUCGGAAAAAUACAUAAGAAUUCAUGGUCGUAACUUGAAGGGCAUGUUUUGAUUGGGGUCCUCCUUAGCGAAUGUCCUCCUCCUCCUCCUCCUUCUGAAGCCUCCUCAUCCUGAUCCACUAGAACCCAAGCAAGGAAACAUAGCAAACUGAAUUACUGUCCUCCUCCUCCUCCUCCUCCUCCUCCUCCUUCUUCCCUUCCGAACCCUCCCCUAUCCACCAAGGCCUAAGAGAGGUAACAUAACGAGCCUGACUGGCCCACUUCACAAUCAGUCUCUACUAAACAAUUCUAGUACAAAAUAAACGUUGGCGAACGCUUCACUCGGGUGUUUUGAGCGUGGCUGAGGUCGUACAAUCGAGGUCGUCCCGUUAAAUGAUGCUACGUAAACUAAACCUUGCCCUGAUUGGCACUCGUCACAUGGUCGAGGUCUUACGAGAAAUGGAGUUUUGCGAAGACCUCAAGUUCGUGAUACUAAACAAUGCUACAUAACAUAAUCUUUGCUAAUGCUUUUGUCCGCUUCCUGAUUGGUCACAGUGAAGAGUUGAGGUUUCGGUGGUAAACAGUCUUACGAGAAAUGGAGUUUUGCGAGGACCUCAAGUUCGUGAUACUAAACAAUGCUACAUAACAUAAUCUUUGCUAAUGCUUCUGUCCGCUUCCUGAUUGGUCACAGUGAAGAGUUGAGGUUUCGGUGGUAAACAGACUUAUGAGAAAUGGAGUUUUGCGAGGACCUCAAGAUCGUGCAACUAAAAACUCCUACAUAACAUAUUCUUUGCCAAUGCUUAUCCGCUUCCUCAUUGGCCACGGGAAGAGUUGAGGUUUCGGUACUAAAUAACCUUACGAGAACUAGACUUUUACCAAUGCUUCUAGGUCCUAUGUGACUUAAACCUUUGCCAACGCUUUCAUCCGUUCUCCAAUUGGCACUUCACUUGACCACUUCUGGCGAAACGACCUUCACAUUUGGCCACUUGAACUGCUUUCUUUCUUUCUUUCCUUGCAGGCUGUUUUUUUUUCUUUUUUUGUAACUUAUCAUUGACCUCUCUUUCAGCCACUCCUCUUAACUCUCUUUUAUGGGAUAAGUGAUAUAUGGGCUUUGCUUUUCAUGAUCGUUUUUGUUUUUAUGGCCCUUGAGUUGUUUCCUUUACUGUAAAAAAAAAAUAAUAACAAUAAUAAUAAUAAUAAUAAUAAAAUAAGCAUCCCACUCCUCUCUCGUAAUACACACGUUACGAAUUACAUCACGAAACUCAUAAUUACGGAUAAGAUGUACAGUUUCAUUUCCUUACUUUUACUUAACAUAUUUAUACCUUACUUUUUACUUCACUUUCCUCCUGACUCCACCUAUUGCCAUCCUCCAUAAUCACUUUACGUCUUACUUUUUAAAUAUUCUUACUUUUCAUUACGAUAUUUCCCCACUUUCGGCUUUUCUUGUUGUGUUGUCAUCGCUGAUAAUCGUCUUACUGAAGCUUACCUCUCUCUUUAAUAUAGUUGACGUAAUUCCUUUAAGUAUUACGUAUAGAGAACAGGGUAAAGAGAGGCACUGUUUUCUUGUUGUGUUGUCAUCGCUAAUAAUCCUUACUGAAGCUCACCUCUCUCUUUAAUAUACUUGACGUAAUUCCUUUAAGUAUUACGUAUGGAGAACAGGGUAAAGAGAGGUAUCGUUUUCUUGUUGUGUUGUCAUCGCUAAUAAUUGUCGUACUGAAGCUCACCUCUCUCUUUAAUAUAGUUGACGUAAUUCCUUUAAGUAUUACGUAUAGAGAACAGGGUAAAGAGGUUUUCGGUAACUCUACAUCGUCUAUCAGAGAGAGCGAGACUGUGACUAAAUAUCCCCUUAAUGAUCUCUGCUUCUAGUACUGACUAUCCUGGUAUACACUAUAGGCUUUGUAUAUAUAGUUAUGUGCAUAUUUACAGUCACACGACGCUGCGGACUCACCAUCAACGCACUCGGAAACAGUCACACAAGGGGAGGGAUUACAUAUGCGACACCACCGUAGGGAAAUCACUGCCGCAUCAACACACUCGUAAAGUCACACAGGGGGGGAUUACAUGCGCGACACCACCGUAGGGAAAUCAUUGCCGUCAACACACUCACAAACAGUCACACAAGGGGGGGAUUACGUAAAUGUAAAUGCGCGACACCCCCGUAGGGAAAUCACUGCUUGUAAACACACUUGGAAACAGUCACACAAGGGGGGGAUUACGUAAAUGUAAACGCGCGACACUGCUGUAGGGAAGUCACUGCCGUCAACACGCUUGUAAACACACUCGUAAACAGUCACACAGGGGGGGGGGGAUUACAUGUGUGACACUGCCUUAGGGAUAUCAUUGCCAUCAGCACACACUCGCAAACAGUCACAAAGGGGGAAGGUUAGAUGUGCGACGCUACUGAAGGGAAAUCACUGCCAUCAACACACUUCUAAACACACUCACAGGGGGUAAGGUAAGAUGCACGACACUACCAAAGGGAAGUCACUGCCAUCAACACACUCUCGGAAACACAAGCGGGAAAUACCAAAAGGAAAUCAUCACAAACACUCAGGAAUGGUCACUCGAGGGAAGGUUAGAUGCACGGCACUACCCAAGGGAAGUUUUCGUUGUAUGUGCACGCUGAAACACACUCAGGAACGAUCAAAUGAAGGAUGGUUGACGGCACGACACCACCGAAGGGAAAUUCUUGCACCGGACACGAAAUGCAGGGAUGGCGGUGACCGGGAACGCUUUGGCAUGACUCACGGGCUAAGCGGUUUGAAUGAGAUGACUCUGUGGCGAGCGGUGAAUCGUGUAGGCAACGGAUAUCUCGGUGUGAAUAAAAAAAAUAAAAAACCAGCUUGAUUAAAAAUAUAAAUCGUAAGAAGACAACACAAAUAUAAGCAACAUGAGACAACCCAUACACAGAACACUGGAUAAUAAUAGCACACACACACACACUAAAAAAUAAAAAGUAGUGAUCAUAACACGACAGACUGCCACCCGAGCCUGCAAAAUAAGAUGCAGAGUAUAGGUACAAUAUAUAUUUAUACAGGCGUGUGUGUAUAUAUGACAUUUGUGAUCACUUAACGGGAAAUCUUAAACCAACGCAUAAAAAUAUUCCUUGCGGGGCUUGAGAGCGUACAGGGGCUACAUAAUGGAGGCUAUAGGAGAGGAUCUGUCGAUUAAUGGUUCCUUAAUUGCACUGACUAUAAUACACACACUAGGUGCAAUAGGCAAAAAAAAAAAAAAAAAAAAAAAAAAUACAGGGUUACAUAUCAACUUACGCCCGUUCGCACUGUACCGACAACCCAGCGACAUUUAGCCCCUCUUCAAACUGUGUCAACUCAGCAUCCGCCGAUCGUUUCUGGUCCUCUUUCCCCCCAUGUGCAACCCUUUCACAUCAACGUUUCACGCCCAAGACCUCGUGUACUCGGAGUCGCUGGGGUGUCAUGGCCCAGAGUCGCCACAGUGAACGGGGCUUUACCUGACUGAAUGGUGGCAGAGUGGCAGCCAGCGAACUAAGAUACGUGACCUAGGAUUUACUUAUCGACUCAAAUGAUUACGUAGAAUACUCUUAACUCAAGCUGUGACACCUAUCAUAACAAACACACAAACGGCUUCACUUAGCAAGAAAAAAUAAGUGUACAUGACCGUCCUUGACAUGCGGAAAACGAUAAUAAUAAGAACAAUAACAUGCGUGAAGGCGGGUUCAAAUCACUUAUGGAAAAUCUAUGUAGGAGUGGAUUGCAAGGGUUGAGUAUUGAACGAAAGGAAACAGGUAUAGUAAUCCAAUGUAUAUGUGAAUGACCCAACCCUAAGGCGACACAUAUAGUUGGAAAGUUUCGUUUAGUCGGCGCAACAGAGACACAUAUAGGAACGGAAAUUAUUAACUGUGUGGCGUGUAGAAGAAAAAGUAGACUGAUUAUCGGAUUCAUGUCAACCGUUCCACUCGGACAUCCGCUCGUGGGGAUGGAGCUGAGGAUGAGAGAGAGGAAGAUGAGGAGAAGGAAUGUGAGAGAGAUGAGAAAGAGAAAACAGAGAGACAGAACAUUGAGGAUAAGAAAGAAAGAGUGAGGGAAAGAGAAGAAGAGAGAAUGAGAGAGAAGAGAAAAUAUGUGAAAGAGAAAAUGGAAAGACAGAGAACGUUGGGGAUAAGAAAGAGAGAAGAAGAAGAGAUGGAGAGAGAGAGUGAGAAAAAAUGAGAUAGAAAAUGAAACAGAGAAAGAGAAACAGAGAGAGGGAGAGAGAGGCAACACACACACACACACACACACACACACACACAUACAUACAC